GAUGAACGCUAGCGACAGGCCUAACACAUGCAAGUCGAGGGGCAGCACGUGAGUAGCAAUACGAUGGUGGCGACCGGCGCACGGGUGAGUAACACGUAUGCAACCUGCCUUCUACUAUGGGAUAACCCGUUGAAAGGCGGACUAAUACCGUAUAAUACAGGGGCUCCGCAUGGAGAUAUUUGUUAAAGAUUUAUUGGUAGAAGAUGGGCAUGCGUAUGAUUAGAUAGUUGGUGAGUUAACGGCUCACCAAGUCAACGAUCAUUAGGGGUUCUGAGAGGAAGGUCCCCCACACUGGGACUGAGACACGGACCAGACUCCUACGGGAGGCAGCAGUGAGGAAUAUUGGUCAGUGGACGAGAGCCUGAACCAGCCAAGUCGCGUGAAGGAAGACGGUUCUAUGAAUUGUAGACUGCUUUUGUGCAGGAAUAAAGUGGGUUACGUGUAACCUUUUGUAUGUACUGUACGAAUAAGGAUCGGCUAACUCCGUGCCAGCAGCCGCCGUAAUAC
rnacentral:rRNA from 1 species